rnacentral:ncRNA from 1 species
UUAACUUCGAAGAUAAGGAAGAGUAACUAUAAGGACGCUUGAAGAGAGUUGUCGGUAGCUGCAAGACAAUAGUAGAUUUAUAGUGAAUGGGCCUUUAAGAAGUAUGAGGAAUACAUACUCAUAACGUUGCUCGCGUUAAGAGCUAGAGGAGAGAAAUCUCAAAAAUAGGUGGUACCGCGUACUUAACGCCCUAUAA